rnacentral:rRNA from 2 species
UAAGUAAUGAAGAGCGUACGGUGGAUGCCUUGGCACCAGGAGCCGAUGAAGGACGUAGGAGGCUGCGAUAAGCCUCGGGGAGCUGUCAACCGAGCUGUGAUCCGAGGAUGUCCGAAUGGGGAAACCCAGCACGAGUGAUGUCGUGUUACCCGCGCCUGAAUAUAUAGGGCGUGUGGAGGGAACGUGGGGAAGUGAAACAUCUCAGUACCCACAGGAAGAGAAAACAACCGUGAUUCCGUGAGUAGUGGCGAGCGAAAGCGGAAGAGGCUAAACCAUGGGUGUGUGAUAGCCGGCAGGUGUUGCAUUCGUGGGGUUGUGGGGUUCAUUUUGUCUGUUCUGCCGAGCAGGCCAACAGUAAGAAAUCACAGGGUUAGUGGAAGUGGUCUGGAACGGCCUGUCGUAGAGGGUGAGAAUCCCGUACACGAAAACUUUGUGACUGUUGUAAUGGAAACCCAAGUAGCACCGGGCCCGUGAAAUCUGGUGUGAAUCUGUCGGGACCACCCGAUAAGCCUGAAUACUCCCUGGUGACCGAUAGCGGACUAGUACCGUGAGGGAAAGGUGAAAAGUACCCCGGGAGGGGAGUGAAAUAGUACCUGAAACCGUGCGCUUACAAUCCGUCAGAGCCUUCGAACAGUUUACUGUUGGGGGUGAUGGCGUGCCUUUUGAAGAAUGAGCCUGCGAGUUAGUGGCAUGUCGCGAGGUUAACCCGUGUGGGGUAGCCGUAGCGAAAGCGAGUCCGAAUAGGGCGAUCGUAGUGGCAUGCUCUAGACCCGAAGCGGAGUGAUCUACCCAUGGCCAGGUUGAAGCGACGGUAAGACGUCGUGGAGGACCGAACCCACUUAGGUUGAAAACUGAGGGGAUGAGUUGUGGGUAGGGGUGAAAGGCCAAUCAAACUCCGUGAUAGCUGGUUCUCCCCGAAAUGCAUUUAGGUGCAGCGUCGCGUGUUUCUCACCGGAGGUAGAGCUACUGGAUGGUCUAGGGGGCCCACAAGCUUACCGAAAUCAGCCAAACUCCGAAUGCCGGUGAGUGAGAGCGCGGCAGUGAGACUGCGGGCGAUAAGGUUCGUAGUCGAGAGGGAAACAGCCCAGAUCGCCAGCUAAGGUCCCUAAGCGUGUACUAAGUGGAAAAGGAUGUGGGGUCGCGAAGACAACCAGGAGGUUGGCUUAGAAGCAGCCACCCUUGAAAGAGUGCGUAAUAGCUCACUGGUCAAGUGAUCCUGCGCCGACAAUGUAGCGGGGCUCAAGUACACCACCGAAGCUGCGGCAUUCACGCAAUAGCCCCCAGUUGAUCCAAGGAUUUUCUGGCAGGUGUGUGGAUGGGUAGGGGAGCGUCGUGUGGCCAUGGAAGCGGCAGGGUGACCUAGCCGUGGAGGCCACACGAGUGAGAAUGCAGGCAUGAGUAGCGAAAGACGAGUGAGAAACUCGUCCGCCGAAUGACCAAGGGUUCCUGGGCCAGGUUAAUCCGCCCAGGGUGAGUCGGGACCUAAGACGAGGCCGACAGGCGUAGCCGAUGGACAACGGGUUGAUAUUCCCGUACCCGUGUGAACGCGCCCAUGGUGAAUCAGUGAUACUAACCAUCCUGAAGCCACGAGAAGACCUUCGGGUCUCGAGUUGGUGGAUGCAUGGGACCUGAUCUGGUAGUAGCCAAGCGAUGGGGUGACGCAGGAAGGUAGCUGAGCCAGUCAGUGGUAAUACUGGUGUAAGCGUGUAGGGCGUGACCUAGGCAAAUCCGGGUCAC